CAGCAGCCGCGGGAACACAGAGGGUGCGAGCGUUAAUCGGAUUUACUGGGCGUAAAGCGUGCGUAGGCGGCUUUUUAAGUCGGAUGUGAAAUCCCUGAGCUUAACUUAGGAAUUGCAUUCGAUACUGGGAAGCUAGAGUAUGGGAGAGGAUGGUAGAAUUCCAGGUGUAGCGGUGAAAUGCGUAGAGAUCUGGAGGAAUACCGAUGGCGAAGGCAGCCAUCUGGCCUAAUACUGACGCUGAGGUACGAAAGCAUGGGGAGCAAACAGGAUUAGAUACCCCCGUAGUCCCUGUCUCUUAUAC
rnacentral:rRNA from 1 species